rnacentral:rRNA from 1 species
AUUAAACGCUGGCGGCAUGCCUUACACAUGCAAGUCGAACGGCAGCACGGGGGCAACCUUGGUGGCGAGUGGCGAACGGGUGAGUAAAGCAUCGGAACGUGCCCUGGAGUGGGGGAUAACGUAGCGAAAGUUACGCUAAUACCGCAUAUUCUGUGAGCAGGAAAGCAGGGGAUCGCAAGACCUUGCGCUCUGGGAGCGGCCGAUGUCGGAUUAGCUAGUUGGUGGGGUAAAGGCCUACCAAGGCGACGAUCCGUAGCGGGUCUGAGAGGAUGAUCCGCCACACUGGGACUGAGACACGGCCCAGACUCCUACGGGAGGCAGCAGUGGGGAAUAUUGGACAAUGGGCGCAAGCCUGAUCCAGCCAUGCCGCGUGGGUGAAGAAGGCCUCGG